ACAGAGUAGACAUAGGCAGAGCACCGACAGAGGGUUGAUGGAAGAGCAGAGUGACAGCAACAACCGUGUGAGUGGCUGUGAGGCAUGAUGUAUUGUCUUGGAUCAUAAAAAGCAUCCAGGGACAUCGAGGACCCUGGCACUAGCAAGCUUGUGAGAGGAUCUCUUUGGAGAAUUUUGUGAGAGCUUUUGUGAGGGUGAGUGCUUCUUGUUGAGAGAGAUUUUUGUAUG
rnacentral:lncRNA from 1 species